rnacentral:tRNA from 1 species
CGUUAGCUCAGUUGGUAGAGCAGCUGACUCUUAAUCAGCGGGUCGCAGGUUCGAACCCUGCACGGC